rnacentral:lncRNA from 1 species
CGGGCCGCACUCACCCCCACGGCGCGUCCCCGUUGGCGGGCCGCGCAGGCCUGGCCGCCGCGGAGCCCGCCGGACGCGGAGGGAAGGAAAGGCCGGAGCCCUCCGCUCCCUCCCCUGGGACACUUCCUGCUCCGCUCUAGGACCGGGGAGGUCUCCGCAUCUCAGUGGUUCGCUCCCCCGCCCCCCGGCCGAGGUGUGCGCGGGGUGACAUCCGACACCCCCGGCCCGGCCGGGCCCGCGCGCCCCGCCCCGCCCGGCUCCGCGCGCGCCCCCUCUGCGCAGGGCCGGGGGCUUUGUGGGCCGGCGGGGGAGACGCGCGCCCGGGGGGCGCCCGGCUGGGGCGUGGGAGGCGCGGCGGGCAGCUCAGUGGGGAGCUCUCUCUCGGCUGUCCUCCCCUCCGCCCUCCGGGAGCCUGGGGACGUCCGGAAGGCCGAUCCGGGACGGCGGCUGGACGCUGGAAUUGGGAGGGGGCGGAGAGGAGGCUCCCGCGCGCCCUGGGCUGCCGCCCUCGGAAUCCGCCCGUGACCACCGGCCCGCGCCCGGGCAGGCCCAGCCCUCCUGCAGCCCAGCCCGCUCCUCUACGCCUGGCCCGCGGCCGCUGAGCAGGCCCGGAGGAGCGCAGACCCCUCCCCGCCUCGUCCUCCGUGAGAUGCCCAUGGUGGCAGCCUGCGCUUUCCUCGGGGGCGGGGGGGGGAGCCACUUUGCGCAGGUUGGGUUAAGAAAGGCCGCCCCCCGCGUGGCCCUCCGGAGCGCACUAAGGGGCUGCGGUGAUCGGGCCCCGAGUCGGGUCAGGAGCUCGUCGCUCGCUGAAGCGAAGGACUGUGGCUGUUCGCGCUGAGGCGGAGAGAGGUGGUCAAGUGGCAGCGAGGGGCAAGCAGGAAUUAGGGCCUCCAGACCUUCAGACAAGGCUACUUGCCGCUACCCUAAGCUGAACGCAGCCCAAAGGCUCAGAGGGGUCCUCGGGGCCUUCCUGCAUCCUCCAUCCAGGUUCCGGAGCUGGGGAGAAAGCGCCGCGCCUGAGCGGGUCUGAGUCCCACCAGCCCUCCCCGUCCAUCUGCCGCGCCCUGAGGUCGGACCCUCCCACGGAAGAGGCGGCAGAGAGCGACAGCCGACUGCAGAUACCUCUCGUUUCCUUCAGACCCUUCAAGGGGGAGCGGAACAAAACCAGGUCCCCCAAAGAAAGUGGCCUGGGGGAGAAGGUGGGUGACUGAGGAACAGGAUCCCUCAGCUGUGCUGCUCUCCUCAUUCCCGGGGCGCGGGGGCCUCCUGCUCCCUCCUCCAGAUUUCGGACAAUCGCUCCUGACUAGGCGAGUCACUGGGAGCCACGGUUUGCCAGAUACCUGGACUCUGUGACCUUAGCAGCAGACAGACCAAAGCAAGGCGGGAACUCUGUGAACAGUGUUGUUCGCUCAAAGGAGAGUCCGACAGAAGCAGGAGAUAUUCCCUGGAGCCCGUGGAGCCAGUGGGAGCUGCCGCCUUGGACUUCACUGGGCUCUGUGCUCCCUGGCUUGUGCAGGCCCCUCCCAGCACCAGCCAGGCACCCCGGCCUGGAGGCAAGGUUCCCCAAGGAGGAGUCCAGGAUCAGCCAUGGCAGGUCUGGCUUAGGUGCUUUAGUAAACACCCGGCCUGUGGACUGCUCUGGGGUCCAGACUGCGGAGCGUCCAGCCCGGGACAGGCUGGUUCACCUGCUGUUCACUGUUGGGAAUCAGGGCUCAUGGCUCCGCCCAGUGCAGCCCUAAAGCAGGUAAAAUGCAGAGCCCAGAGAUGCUAGCACGCAGUGUCAGGGCAAUCCCCACCGCCCAGGCCAGUUCCUUCCCCUGGGCUGACGAGGCCCUGCACAACUCGACUCAGAAUAUGCUCUGACUUGGGGUUCUUCUGCAUUUUGCUCACCACGUGGGUUGAGGCAGAGCCCCUGGGUUAGAUCCUGCCCCAUCAGUUCCUGACCAGGUGAUCUCAGUCUACCUGACCUUCCUGUGCCUCAGUUUCCUCAUCGAGAAAACAGAUGAUGCUGUCUAUCUCACUGGGUGGAUGUGUGGGAUUAUUCAGUCAUUCAACAAACAUACUGAGACCUGCUAGGUACUUGUGGUGCUUGGCAUCGUUCCAGGUUCACAGGGUACACCUGUGAACACAACUGGCCAGCACAGGGGAAGGAAGUGGAGCAACUAGUUAGCAGAAUCAAUGACAUGAUCUGCUGUGUUUGGUCCAUACUGCGGAAGAGAAGGAAAAGCAGGGCCAGCCCCGUGACUGAGAGGUUAAGUUCGUGUGCUCUGCUUUGGCGGCCCAGGGUUUCGUUGGUUCGCAUCCUGGGCGUGGACCUAGCACUGCUCACCAAGCCAUGCUGAGGUGGCGUCCCACAUAGCACAACCAGAGGGACCUACAACUAGAAUACACAACUAUGUACUGGGGGGCCUUGGGGAGAAAAAGAAGAAAAAGAAGUGAAGACUGGCAACAGAUGUUAGCUCAGGCCUUCUACUGCACAAGAGGGCUGCUCGACACUCGUCUAUUUUCUUUUCUUUCGCUGAAGACUAAAAGACUUGAAGAACCGUACACAGGCCUACUGCUUCAAUGAAAGUCCCUCCAAAACGGCCCAGUUGUCACUAGAGACAGGUGUCAUUCCUUGAAGUCACGUGUUGGGCGCUGUGGUCAAGGAAACAAAACCAAGACCCCAAACAUCAGUUUUGGGGAGCUGUCCAUGAGCAUCAGAGUCUUAACGCCAACCCAGCCAGACCACCAGGGAGCAGCCUGUAGUAUGAAAAAUCCAGACGAACUGAAACAGUCGGAUUAAUUGUGCUGAUGCUGUGGGGAGGGCCCCCAAGGAGGCUGCGCGAGGCUGGAUACAGGCAGGAGGGAGGCGUCUUUUGAAAGGUGAGGUGAAUCCUAGGAUCCUGGAAUUUCAGGAUGGGAACUGAGGCUCAGGGAGAGCACGCUGGCCAAGGACGCAGUGCUGCAGGCGUGAGGGCAGGGGAGGAAGACAUCACACACAAUAUGUUCAGCAUGUGCAGGCUUACCACCUGCACUUACUGCUUCAUUCUCACCAGAAUCCCCAGAAGCUGGAGCCCCAAGAACCACUGAAGAGUUUGGAACCUGUCCAGCAGGAAAGAGGGGCUCGCUGCAUGCUGGAUCCCACAGCCUGAUCUGUGUCCUGAUCCUAUCUCAGAGCACAGAUCCCUUCCUGGAUCCCCCAGUCUGUUCUGUGUCCUGAUCCUCUUCUCAGAGUACCGAUCCUGUCUGGAUCCCACACCUG